UGUUUUUAAAAAUAUAUCUAUUUUCUUCAAAAUCUGGCACAAAGUAAAACCUUGUGGAAUUUAAUUUGGUCAACCAGGAUCUAAAGUGGGGUAAUGGCUGUGAGUGGAGAGGCAUGAUUGCAGAAAACCUUAAAAGGUAGAACCAUCAACUUUCCAAAGAGCAGAAAUGGAGGAAAGGGAGAGGAAGUCCAAAAUGGUCCCCGUACUAUGGCUGCGGUAACAAAUGGUGACCAACUCAGCGGCUUGAAACCAUACAAACUUAUUAUCCUACAGUUCUGGAGGCCAGAAGCCCAAAAUGGGUUUCACUGGGCGGAAAUCAAGGUGCCGUCAAGGCUGCAUUAUUCUGGAGGCUCCAGAGAAGGAUUCACCCCUUUUCCUUUUUCAGCUUCUAGAGACCGCCUGCAUUCCUUGGCUCAUGGUCCCCUCCCGUUCGCAACGCCAGCAAUGUUGGGCGAAGACCUUCUCGUGCUGCCAUCUUUCUGGCUCUUUUCUGCCUCCCUCUGCCACUUAUAAGGACUUAUGGUUACAGUGGGCCCACCCCGAAAAUCUGGGAGAGUCUCCCCUUCUCAAGGUCAGCCGAUUAGAAACCUUCAUUCCGUCUGCAACCUUAAUUCCUUUUUGCCAUGGAAGGUGACAUAUUAGCUAGUUCUGGGCAUUAGGACGUGGACAUCUUUGGGGGCCAUUAGCCUGCCUACCACAAUCCCCAAGUGUCAAGUUUGUGUAGUGGGAGAAUAAUGGUGCCAUGAGUCAAAACAGAGAUGUCAGAAGAGGGAAUUAUGAGAUAAAAGCUAACAUUGCGUGAAUGCUUGCCGUGGGUCAAACCCUUUACGCAGAGUUCAUUUAACCCACAACAACUUCUUCUGUCCUCAUCCGCUGGGAAUGGACACGCCGGCGUACCUCUGUCUGUUGUUUCUCUUUCCCCAUCCUGUGGUGGUGGCUCCUGUCGGCAGGGAGUCUGUUUUGUUCCAGCUCUCUCCCGAGCACCAGAAGAGCACCUGAUGCCCAGUACUUGCUCAGUCAGUAUUUGGUGAGUGAGCAGAUGACUAACCAUCUUCGCUCAGGCUGCCAGAACAAAACACCUUAGAGGGCAUGGCGUGAACAGCAGACAUUAUUUCUCACACUUGCGGAGGCUGGAAAGUCCAAGACCAAGGUGCCCGCAGAUCUGGCUCCUGGCGAGGCCUGGCUUGCAGAGGGCCACCUGCUUACACGGCCGGGAGAGCGAGCUCUGCUCUCUCUUCCUCUGCUUAAAAGGACACUCAUCCCAUUAUGGGGUCCCUGACCUCAUGACCUCAUCUAAACCUCAUUACCUCCCAAAGAGUCUACCUCCAAAUGCCAUCACAUUGGCGGGGAGGGCUUCAGCAUAUGAAUUUUGGGGGGCACACACGUUUAGUCCAUAACAAACCACCUGAGGGAGGUUUUCUUAGUUUCAUUUUCCUGAUGAAAUCUUGAGGCCCAGUGGUGCAGCGUAUCCAGCCCCGGGCCACAGAGCUGAGGAAGAAAUGAGCCCGGAAAGAUUUUGGAUUAGCCCGAAAGCCACAUAGCUACAUGGCAACAGAACUGACCCUGGAACUCAGGUCUCUUGACAACAUAUCCUUUUUUCCUGCUAAACGGAAUUAGUGAAACCAGAGUUUGAACACCGGCUCAUUCCUGAACCAGUAGUAUGACUUUGAGCAACUUGCUCUCCUUCUCUGAGUGUGUUUGCACAUACGGAAGGUGAGAAUAACAAUACUGGAGACCUCACAAGGCUGCCGUGAGGAGGAAUUAAUCUAUGGUGAACAGAGAGCUCCAUGCCUGGCACAGAAGAGGGGUGGGCUUAUGGAAUUCGAAACGAAGCAGCUGUUGUAAUAUCUUGAAUGACUAAACUGGAUCCAUUGUACUGAUGUGGCACCAUUAUUCAUAUUGUGGGGCACCCCUUUCUGUGUAGGCUCCAUCACAGAAGGUCUAGGCUCAGCUCAUGGCUGUAUCCCCAGAGCUUAGCAUAAUGCCUGGCAGGUCAUGGGCGCUUGGUAAAAGUUGGUUGAAUGAGUGAGUAAAUGAGGUACCAAGAGACACAAAGGAUGGUUGGAUAUCAGUGGCCAGUCCAAUGGCCCUUGGUUCAGGACUUCUUUUUCGCUUUAGAGCCUGGCUAGUCUGUGUCCCAAAAAAGCCUUCCCUCAUCCCAAACCAGAGGACCCCAAAUAUUUUCACCAAGCAUCCUUUCUUUGUCAUACAUUUGAGGAAAAAGUUAUUUCUCUAGAAGAGAAAUCAAGAAGGGAGAGAACGCCUUGUCUUAACUUCCAGGGACAAAUGGAAACUGAAACACUCACGCCUACGUGGCUCACGUUCCAGGGAGAGACACAGUAACGUGGCAUCUGGAAAAUACCCAGCUCAAGCCAGAUUUCUGUCAGUUCCUUCUCUGUCGGUCUGUGCUUCCCGGCUAGUGAAGUAUACGGUUUCUGCCUUUCCUUCUUCCCAAAGAAAACUUUGAUGAAAAAAAAGGGGUUCUGCCUCCUGGGGAAUCUGAUGGACUCCUUGGGGGCUGUCUUCGUCCAAGGUCAGUGGUCAUUACUGUCACCUCCAAGAGAGAACCAAGAAUCCUGGCUCUUUGGCUGCUGCCACUGUCUUGGCCACUAGGUGUCACCAGUGGUCCUGCAGCCCACCUCCAGACGGGAGGCAGGCAGAUGUCACAGGGAAUACUUCCUGUCUACAUCCUGCUCAAAGAAGAGGCUUUUGGAAUACCUACUCUCUUGCCACAGUGGACCUCAGCAGGCAAUCCCGCUCAGAAAAGAAAAUUGUUGGACGUAAGUGCUAGUCCUACCGUCUGAGUGCUGAAUCUUCUCCGUGGUCAUCUGAGAAAGGAGAGGUUCUCGCAGCAGGAGAGGUGGACAGACCUGGGUCCUGGUUCUGGCACUGCCACCCACUUCUGGUGUGACUCAGGGGAGCCACUCAGCCGUCUGAGCACCCCUACCUGAGAGAAAUUAAGACCUGACACAUGUUUGCAGCUUUUUCAUUUUGUCGCCGAGGUGAAUUUUAGUUUCCUGAGUGCUUACUGCACGGCUUACUUCAGGGGCUCAAAUGGUGCUAGGUGGGUGGGUACUAGUUUGAGGAUUAUGAAGAUAGGUGGGGGAGGACUGGGCUGUCUCUCCAGGCGAGGUUCAACAUACUCACCCCACCCCCAACUUUCUGGAGUCAGACAGACUAGGGUUUAUUGCAGCCUGACUCCAACCAGCUACUUCACUGGGUAUGUCACUUAACUCAUCUGAGCCUCAGUUUCCUCAUAUGCAGAAUGAGGGCAAUAUCUACCUUUCAGAGGGUGUGAUGGUUAAUUUUAUGUGUCAACUUGGCUGGGCCAGGGAGUACCCAGAUAUUUGGUGGAGCAUUAUUCUGGCUGUUUCUGUAAGGGGGUUUUGGAUGAGAUUAACAUUUAAAUCGGUAAGCUUUGAGUGAAGCAGAUUCCCCUCCAAAAUGUGGGUGUGCCUCAUCCAAUCAGUUGAAGGCCUGAGGAGAACAAAAACGCCAGCCUCCUGUGAGCAGGAAAGAAUUCUCCAGCAGACCGCCUUUGGACUUUCACCUGCUACACUGGCUCUUCCUGGUUCUAGAGCAGUUGGCCUUUGGAGCUGAACUGGAACAUCAGCUUUCUUGGGCCUCCAGGCACCACUCUACCCCGGAGAUUUUGGACUUGCCAGCUUCCAUAAUUGUGUGAACCAAUUCCUUAUAAUAAAUCAUAUAUACG
ensembl:lncRNA